UGGGGAAUAUUGCACAAUGGGCGCAAGCCUGAUGCAGCCAUGCCGCGUGUGUGAAGAAGGCCUUCGGGUUGUAAAGCACUUUCAGCGGGGAGGAAGGCGAUAAGGUUAAUAACCUUGUCGAUUGACGUUACCCGCAGAAGAAGCACCGGCUAACUCCGUGCCAGCAGCCGCGGUAAUACGGAGGGUGCAAGCGUUAAUCGGAAUUACUGGGCGUAAAGCGCACGCAGGCGGUCUGUCAAGUCGGAUGUGAAAUCCCCGGGCUCAACCUGGGAACUGCAUUGGAAACUGGCAGGCUAGAGUCUUGUAGAGGGGGGUAGAAUUCCAGGUGUAGCGGUGAAAUGCGUAGAGAUCUGGAGCAAUACCGGUUGCGCAGGCGGCCCCCUGGACAAAGACUGACGCUCAGGUGCGAAAGCGUGGGGAGCAAACAGG
rnacentral:rRNA from 1 species